rnacentral:rRNA from 1 species
UACGUAGGGUGCAAGCGUUGUCCGGAAUUAUUGGGCGUAAAGAGCUUGUAGGCGGUUUGUCGCGUCUGCUGUGAAAUCUCGGGGCUCAACCCCGAACUUGCAGUGGGUACGGGCAGACUAGAGUGUGGUAGGGGAGACUGGAAUUCCUGGUGUAGCGGUGAAAUGCGCAGAUAUCAGGAGGAACACCGAUGGCGAAGGCAGGUCUCUGGGCCACUACUGACGCUGAGAAGCGAAAGCAUGGGGAGCGAACAGG